UACGUAUGGGGCGAGCGUUGUCCGGAAUGAUUGGGCGUAAAGGGUACGUAGGCGGUUUAUUAAGUCGAUGGUGAAAGGGUGGGGCUCAACCCCAUAAAGCAUUCGAAACUGGCAAACUUGAGUUGUGGAGAGGAAAGUGGAAUUCCAAGUGUAGCGGUGACAUGCGUAGAUAUUUGGAGGAACACCAGUGGCGAAGGCGACUUCCUGGACACAGACUGACGCUGAGGUACGAAAGCGUGGGGAGCAAAUAGG
rnacentral:rRNA from 1 species